rnacentral:rRNA from 1 species
UACGGAGGGUGCAAGCGUUAAUCGGAAUUACUGGGCGUAAAGCGUGCGCAGGCGGUUUUGUAAGACAGAGGUGAAAUCCCCGGGCUCAACCUGGGAACUGCCUUUGUGACUGCAAGGCUAGAGUACGGAAGAGGGGGGUGGAAUUCCGCGUGUAGCAGUGAAAUGCGUAGAUAUGCGGAGGAACACCGAUGGCGAAGGCAACCCCCUGGGCCUGUACUGACGCUCAUGCACGAAAGCGUGGGGAGCAAACAGG